rnacentral:lncRNA from 1 species
UAUUUCUCCUCAGGACAUUCAGACAGAUGUUGAUACCCAGACUGAUCUUUCUAAAAGGGCACUGGGGGGUCAGAUCCCGAAUACCAUGGCACAAGAGCUUGAUAAGUUUGGAGAUCUGGACCACAUUCAUAUAGCCUCGAGAAGAGAGUGUUUCGAGGCCGGUGCGGAGAAAUGGACAGGACUCAUAGCCAUCCUUGAAGAGCUUUGGUUCUGGGUAAAGCUGAAAGAUGAGGAGCUGACAAGGCAGAGGCCGGUGGGAGAAGAUGUACAUACUUUACUGCAGAAACAAGGCUACUGUACGGCCUUGCACAGUGAGUUGACUGGACGGAGACAGGAUAUGAAUCAGACAUGUCUGUCUCUGGCUGUUCAACCUACAACAAUGGAAGUCCAGAGCAAUAUAGAGACGGCUUCAGGUGAGAGACGUGAUCAGGUGUCAGUUUGCGACCUCCCAGAGGAAUACUUUAUUAUAGAGGUUUCUCUUUCAUAGUACAGG